UAUUUUGUUGCAGGAAAUAUGGCUGUCCAAAAGUCGAAAGCUGUUAAAAACGGAAAAAUCUACUACUAUCCUGCUACAGGAUUCAUUGAAGAGAGGCUUCGUAAUGUGCGAAAGAAGAUAAGGAGUCAUGGAUUUGAUCAGCAAUCACAUGAAGUCAAUGAACCACAGAGGGUUCAAAUACCAGAUCAGGGGUGUGAAACUCAAGACAUCCAGGGAGACAUCCAGCCUCCUGCUGGUUUUUCAGAAAUUCUUCCUUAUGUGCUGUAGAAUGCCUGGAUCAAGUAUGUUUAGCCGAUAGGGAGCUUCAACAGCAGAAUCGAUGGUGCCGGAAGAGCGGUCACAACAACAAAAGGAGUGGCUGAAACACAACUGCUACCCUCUAACCCAAGUACAGGAGUACAUGGAGGAAACAGCUCUCUACAGAGCGAAUUGGAUUCGAGCAAAUCCCUCCAGAGGCAUUUUUGAGAUUCUGGCUGAGUACCCUCGCCUCACCAGUUCAG
rnacentral:lncRNA from 1 species